GGGGAAUUUUCCGCAAUGGGCGAAAGCCUGACGGAGCAAGACCGCGUGGGGGAUGAAGGUUUGUGGAUUGUAAACCCCUUUUGAUUGGGAAGAAUACUGACGGUACCAAUCGAAUAAGCCUCGGCUAACUCCGUGCCAGCAGCCGCGGUAAUANCGGAGGAGGCAAGCGUUAUCCGGAAUUAUUGGGCGUAAAGCGUCCGUAGGUGGUUUAGUAAGUCUGCUGUUAAAGCGCGGGGCUUAACUCCGUAUCGGCAGUGGAAACUACUAGACUAGAGUGUGGUAGGGGUAGAGGGAAUUCCCAGUGUAGCGGUGAAAUGCGUAGAUAUUGGGAAGGACACCGGUGGCGAAAGCGCUCUACUGGGCCAUAACUGACACUGAUGGACGAAAGCUAGGGGAGCGAAAGGGAUUAGAUACACCCUGUCAGUC
rnacentral:rRNA from 1 species